UACGGAGGAUUCGAGCGUUAUCCGGAUUUAUUGGGUUUAAAGGGUCCGUAGGCGGACCGGUAAGUCAGUGGUGAAAUCCCAGAGCUCAACUCUGGAACUGCCAUUGAUACUGUCGGUCUUGAAUUUAGUUGAGGUGGGCGGAAUACGUUAUGUAGCGGUGAAAUGCAUAGAUAUAACGUAGAACACCGAUUGCGAAGGCAGCUCACUAAACUAACAUUGACGCUGAUGGACGAAAGCGUGGGGAGCGAACAGG
rnacentral:rRNA from 1 species